rnacentral:rRNA from 1 species
UACGUAGGGUGCGAGCGUUAAUCGGAAUUACUGGGCGUAAAGCGUGCGCAGGCGGUUGGGUAAGACAGAUGUGAAAUCCCCGGGCUUAACCUGGGAACUGCAUUUGUGACUGUCCGACUGGAGUAUGUCAGAGGGGGGUGGAAUUCCAAGUGUAGCAGUGAAAUGCGCAGAUAUUUGGAAGAACACCGAUGGCGAAGGCAGCCCCCUGGGGCAAAACUGACGCUCAUGCACGAAAGCGUGGGGAGCAAACAGG